rnacentral:lncRNA from 1 species
GAUAACAAGAAAUUUUGUUAAUAGAUAAAUAUUCUUUUAUAUUUUUUGAUCAAUAUAUUGUAUUUUUUUUUUCAAUAUGUUGUUCUAUUUUAGAAAAGUUUUUAUUUUUAAAGAGAAAGAUUGUAGAUUUGGGGUUGUGAUUUAGAAAUUAGGAUAAUAAGAAUUUUUGUUGAUAGAUGAGUAUUUUUUUAUUUUUUUAUCAAUAGGGUGUAUUCUUAAGAUAAAAUUCUCAAAAAUUCUAUUUUAGGUAAGAUUUCAUUUUUAUAGAGAAAUAUUGUAAAUUCGUGGUUGUAAUUUUAGAAAUAAGAAUAACAAGAAUUUUUGUUAAUAGAUGACUAUUAUUUUAGAUUUUUUUAUUAUUAGGUUGUAUUUUAAAAAUAAAAUUUUCAAAAUUUUAUUUUUGAAAAGUUUUUAUUUUUUAAGAAAACUAUUGUAGAUUUGCGGUUGAAAGCUAGAGAGGCUCAAAAGAGCGUUCAGCAGAUUGAUGGAGAAAGAGUGGUCGGCCUUUGGUAAAAGUGUAUUAUUGAAAACUUUGCAUGCUUAAUUAUGCCAUAUACGGUUUUUAUUUUUAUUUAUAUCAAUAGACUUAUACUUAUAAGAGAAUAAGACCAAAAAACACCUAGAAAUUUAAUGCAAGAUGGCAUUGUCUGUGGGGGAAGAAAGUGAGUAAAAAUGUAGGAAAAUUACCAUAAAUACCACAUUUAUAGUACCAUUUUUCAUGUUUACACUAACCACUUUUAACCUCACUUUUAAUGAAGGGUAAAAUACAAUUAUACCCUUAGGGUUAACUAAUCUAGACUUAGGGUCUAGAGUUGAGGGGGUGGGAUAGGGUUUUUGGAAUGUGAAAUUUAUGAUUCUAAUAAAUAUAUAAAUACUUAAAAAAUAUAUAAAAUUUUUUAAUAGUUUCAACCAUAAUUUAAGUUUUUCAAAAAUAAAUUUGCAAAAAAAAUAAAAAAGAAAUCGAAAAAAAAAAUUCAAAAAAAAAAUUUAUAAAAAAGUUCGAUUUUGAAAAAGUAUAAUUCAAAAACAUAAAAAAAAUGUAAUUUUUUUUAACUUUUAUUUUUUUUUAUCUUUUUUUUAUUUUUUUUAUUUAAAAAAUAAUUUAUUAUAUAUAUAAAUAACAAGUGCAUAAGAGUCUUUUGCCACUUAAUGAAUAAGAUAUUUUUGAAAAUGUCUUAUUAUUGGUGGUAAAAAUAAAAAGUGGUACCAUGAAAGUGAUAAACAUGUAUUUUCCCCAAAAAUUUAACAUCUGUUGAAAAUAAAAAUAAAGGGAAAAUAGUAUUUAUUUAAGUAAAUAUAUUUUCUGGUUAUAAAGCAAUAGAGAGAUGGUGUUGAUGUAAGUGGAGAAAGAGGGGAGAUGGUGAGACAACGACAAGAGAUAGAGUCAAGUUAAAAAAAAAAAUAAGUCAAGAUUAUAUUGACUUCAGAUUAUUAAAAUAACCAAGCGCAGCCUCUCUAUAGAGUCAAGAGAUAGAGACAAGAGAUAUAUAUAAUAGUAUUUCUUUGUUACUCUUUUGUUGAAAGGACAAGUUACAAAAAAAAAAAAGAAUAAGUCAAGAUUAUAUUGACUUCAGAUUAUUAAAAUAAGGGUUUUUAGUAAUUAAACCCCUCAACUAAAGAUGAAUCGUAAAAAAAACCCUCAACUAAAAAUCCUGUGAAAUAAACCCUCAACUUUAGUUCCGUUAACAUAUGUUACCCUCCGUCUAAAAACCCGUCACGGAGGGUGACAUAUGUUAACGGUUUAUAAGUUGAGGGUUUAUAAUGUUGAAAACUUAGUUGAGGUUUUUUUUUUACGAUUCAAAAAUAGUUGAGGGGUUUUAUCACUAAAAGUCAUUAAAGGGUUUUUAGGUUAUUUAUUAUCCAUUUAUACAUUGUUUUAGAUUGAUUUGUAAGCCUUUAAAACUAAUGUAUAUUUUUAAUACAUUAAUCUAUUAUAAAAUUAAUUUAUACAUCUUAAAUUAAUAAUUUUCAACACGAUUUACAACUUAUUAUAACUUCAAA